GAUGAAGAACGUAGCGAAAUGCGAUAAGUAAUGUGAAUUGCAGAAUUCAGUGAAUCAUCGAAUCUUUGAACGCACCUUGCGCCCUUUGGCCAUUCCGAAGGGCAUGCCUGUUUGAGUAUCAUGAACACCUCAACUCUCAUGGCUCGCCAUGAUGAGCUUGGAUUUGGGGGUCUUGCUGGCCUGUGGUCGGCUCCUCUCAAAUGGAUCAGCUUGCCAGUGUUUGGUGGCAUCACAGGUGUGAUAACUAUCUGAGCUUGUGGUUUUCCAUCAGAUAACCUUCAGUGAUGGAGGUUCGCUGGAGCUCAUAAACGUCUCCCCUAAGCGGGGACAGCCCUUUGAAUGUUUGAUCUCAAAUCAGGUAGGACUACCCGCUGAACUUAAGCAUAUCAAUAAGCGGAGGA
rnacentral:misc_RNA from 1 species